ensembl:misc_RNA Y_RNA Y RNA
AGCUGGUUUGAAGACAGUGUUAUCUCAAUUAAUUGUUCACAGUCAGUUACGGAUCAAACUCUUUGUUCUACUCUUUCCCCAUUUCUCACUACUGCACUUGACUAGUCUAGA